AGAGUUUGAUUAUGGCUCAGGAUGAACGCUGGCGGCGUGCCUAAUACAUGCAAGUCGAACGCAUUACUUCGGUAGUGAGUGGCGAACGGGUGAGUAACACGUAGGUAACUUACCUCUAAGACGAGGAUAACGACUGGAAACGGUCGCUAAAACUGGAUAGGAUCAUUUGAGGCAUCUCGAAUGAUUUAAAGGGGCUUUCAAGCCACACUUAGAGAAAGGCCUGCGGCGCAUUAGCUAGUUGGUGGGGUAGAGGCCUACCAAGGCGAUGAUGCGUAGCCGGACUGAGAGGUCGAACGGCCACAUUGGGACUGAGACACGGCCCAAACUCCUACGGGAGGCAGCAGUAGGGAAUUUUCGGCAAUGGGGGAAACCCUGACCGAGCAAACCGCCGCGUGAACGAAGAAGGCCGUGAGGUUGUAAAGUUCUUUUCGGGAGGGGGAACAACCGUGGCAGGGAAUGGCCGCGGGAUGACGUGAAUCCCGGAAUAAGCCCCGGCUAACUACGUGCCAGCAGCCGC
rnacentral:rRNA from 1 species